AGGAUAGAGGCCUACCAUGGUGGUAACGGGUAACGGGGUGUUAGGGCACGACACCGGAGAGGGAGCCUGAGAAACGGCUACCACAUCCAAGGAUGGCAGCAGGCGCGCAAAUUACCCAAUCCCGACACGGGGAGGUAGUGACAAUAAAUAACAAUACGGGGUUCUUUAGGAUCUCGUAAUUGGAAUGAGUACAAUUUAAAUCUCUUAACGAGGAACAAUUGGAGGGCAAGUCUGGUGCCAGCAGUCGCGGUAAUUCCAGCUCCAAUAGCGUAUAUUAAAGUUGUUGCAGUUAAAAAGCUCGUAGUUGAAUUUCGGGGUUAGUAGGUUGGUCAUGCCUCUGGUAUGUACUGGUCUCACUGAUUCCUCCUUCCUUAUGAACCGUAAUGCCAUUAAUUUGGUGUUGCGGGGAAUUUGGACUGUUACUUUGAAAAAAUUAGAGUGUUUAAAGCAAGCUAACGCUUGAAUACAUUAGCAUGGAAUAAUGAAAUAGGACGUUCGAUCUUAUUUUGUUGGUUUCUAGGAUUGACGUAAUGAUUAAUAGGGAUAGUUGGGGGCAUUAGUAUUCAAUUGUCAGAGGUGAAAUUCUUGGAUUUAUUGAAGACUAACUACUGCGAAAGCAUUUGCCAAGGAUGUAUUCAUUAAUCAAGAACGAAAGUUAGGGGAUCGAAGACGAUCAGAUACCGUCGUAGUCUUAACCAUAAACUAUGCCGACUAGGGAUCGGAUGAUG
rnacentral:rRNA from 1 species